rnacentral:rRNA from 1 species
ACGGCUCAGUAACACGUAGUCAACAUGCCCAGGGGACGUGGAUAACCUCGGGAAACUGAGAUUGAACCGCGAUAGGUCAAGAUUUCUGGAAUGGAUCCUGGCCUAAAUCUAUAUGGCCCCUGGAUUGGACUGCGGCCGAUCAGGCUGUUGGUGAGGUAAUGGCCCACCAAACCUAUAACCGGUACGGGCUCUGAGAGGAGAAGCCCGGAGAUGGGCACUGAGACAAGGGCCCAGGCCCUAUGGGGCGCAGCAGGCGCGAAACCUCUGCAAUAGGCGAAAGCCUGACAGGGUUACUCUGAGUGAUUUCCGCUAAGGGGAUCUUUUGGCACCUCUAAAAAUGGUGCAGAAUAAGGGGUGGGCAAGUCUGGUGUCAGCCGCCGCGGUAAUACCAGCACCCCGAGUGGUCGGGACGAUUGUUGGGCCUAAAGCAUCCGUAGCCGGUUGUGCAAGUCUUCCGUUAAAUCCAGCCGCUCAACGGAUGGGCUGCGGAGGAUACUACAGGACUAGGAGGCGGGAGAGGCAAGCGGUACUUAGUGGGUAGGGGUAAAAUCCUUUGAUCCAUUGAAGACCACCAGUGGCGAAGGCGGCUUGCCAGAACGCGCUCGACGGUGAGGGAUGAGAGCUGGGGGAGCAAACCGGAUUAGAUACCCGGGUAGUCCCAGCUGUAAACGAUGCAGACUCGGUGAUGGGCUAGCCCCGAGCUAGCCCAGUGCCGCAGGGAAGCCGUUAAGUCUGCCGCCUGGGGAGUACGGUCGCAAGACUGAAACUUAAAGGAAUUGGCGGGGGAGCAC